rnacentral:rRNA from 1 species
UACGGAGGGUGCAAGCGUUAUCCGGAUUCACUGGGUUUAAAGGGUGCGUAGGUGGGGUGGUAAGUCAGUGGUGAAAUCUCCGAGCUUAACUUGGAAACUGCCAUUGAUACUAUCAUUCUUGAAUAUUGUGGAGGUCAGCGGAAUAUGUCAUGUAGCGGUGAAAUGCUUAGAUAUGACAUAGAACACCAAUUGCGAAGGCAGCUGGCUACACAUAUAUUGACACUGAGGCACGAAAGCGUGGGGAUCAAACGG